GAUGAACGCUAGCGGCAGGCCUAAUACAUGCAAGACGAACGGUAAGUUGAGUAGCAAUACUUAGCCAAGAGUGUCGUACGGGUGCGUAACACGUAUGCAACCUACCCUAUACAGGAGGAUAGCCUAGGGAAACCUGGAUUAACCCUUCAUAGUAUUAUUGGAUGGCAUCAUUUGAUAAUUAAAACUGAGGUGGUAUAGGAUGGGCAUGCGUCUGAUUAGUUAGUUGGCGGGUAAUGGCCCACCAAGACGAUGAUCAGUAGGGGUUCUGAGAGGAAGAUCCCCCCACACUGGCACUGAGAUACGGGCCAGACUCCUACGGGAGGCAGCAGUAGGGAAUAUUGGUCAAAUGGAUGCAAGUCUGAACCAGCCAAUGCCGCGUGCAGGAAGAAGGCCUUCUGGGUUGUAAACUGCUUUUGCCAGGGGAUAAAA
rnacentral:rRNA from 1 species